rnacentral:tRNA from 1 species
GGGACGAGUUAGAAUACCUGCCUGUCACGCAGGGGGUCGCGGGUUCGAGUCCCGUCCGUUCCGCCA